rnacentral:siRNA from 1 species
UGUUGAGUGUUGCACAUGUAUG